rnacentral:lncRNA from 1 species
GGAUUCUGGAGGAUCCUGAGGAAAGAAUUACAAUAUAUUUGUUGUGGUUUUCUACAUUUUCUCCAAUCGUAUCAUACUGUCAGAGUCAGAAUAGUAGGGAAAAGAGAAAAGACCUCUCAUGGAAGGCUUGUCCCAGAAAGCAGGAAAACAGACUGCUCCUACCCAGACUAAAGAAGGAUCUCAACUGCUUAUAGAAGAGGAAAAGAUAUUCUGUGAUGACCCCACUGUGGUGAGGAAGGAGAACAAAGGAGAGAGGAGAGAACAUUUCUUUCUCAAUUCAGAAAUUGUAGAAGAACAGGGUUAAUUCACCUGGUUACAGAACCUUUCCAAUGGAAGCACGCUUGCUUUGUUGACCCAAUCAAGUAUCUCUGUUUCAUCUCAAGUAUGUGGUGGAACACUCACUAUUCCUGCUACCAAAAUCUUCCCCACGGAUAUAAGAAACAACAAGUUCAGCUGCGCAGCUCUUGUAAGUGCAAAAUUAAUUUUAGGUAGCUCCAUAAAUUCUCUUGUAAUCAUAAUAUAAAAAUACAACACAAUAAUUGAACUUAUAACCCUUUUUGUAUAUGACACACAUCUUUUUUUGGUGAAUUACACCUGGUUACUUUAGAUCACAUUUUCCAUGUAAUUUAUUUUUUAAGGAAAAUAUAUAAUUAAUUUUUUUUUCUGAAACUUUACACUUGUUAGGUGAAACUUAGCAGUUACAAUAUCAUACAUCUUAACAACUCUGUAUCUCACUUUUGAUUUGUGAUUAUCAAGUUAUGGUUUUUAAAUUGCUGAGGCAUAGAUGGUAUCUUUGCUUGAAGACCAGAAAUCACCCAAGAACAUAAUUCUCUUUUUUAGUACCUCUCUUUCUGAAGAAAGAGAAAGAACAACAAACCUCUCUUUAUGAAGAAAAAUAAAACUACAUCCUCUCUGUAAAAUGCCGCA